AUACGUAGGGGGCGAGCGUUGUCCGGAAUGACUGGGCGUAAAGGGCGUGUAGGCGGCCUGAUAAGUUUGGAGUGAAAGUCCUGUUCUCAAGAUGGGAAUUGCUUUGGAUACUGUCGGGCUUGAGUGCAGAAGCGGUAAGCGGAAUUCCCAGUGUAGCGGUGAAAUGCGUAGAGAUUGGGAGGAACACCAGUGGCGAAGGCGGCUUACUGGGCUGUAACUGACGCUGAGGCGCGAAAGCGUGGGGAGCGAACAGGAUUAGAUACCCUGGUAGUCCACGCGGUAAACGAUGAAUGCUAGGUGUUGCGGGUAUCGACCCCUGCAGUGCCGGAGUAAACACAAUAAGCAUUCCGCCUGGGGAGUACGGCCGCAAGGUUGAAACUCAAAUGAAUUGACGGGG
rnacentral:rRNA from 1 species